rnacentral:rRNA from 1 species
UUAAGUGACUAAGCGUACAAGGUGGAUGCCUUGGCAAUCAGAGGCGAAGAAGGACGUGCUAAUCUGCGAAAAGCUUGGAUGAGUCGAUAAGAGGCGUUUAAUCCAAGAUGUCCGAAUGGGGAAACCCAGUAGAUGAAGAAUCUACUAUCAUUAUCUGAAUCCAUAGGAUAAUGAGGCGAACCGGGAGAACUGAAACAUCUAAGUACCCCGAGGAAAAGAAAUCAACCGAGAUUUUGUGAGUAGCGGCGAGCGAAAGCGAAAGAGCCUGUUAGUGAUAGCGACAGAGACAGAGGAACAAGCUGGGAAGCUUGGCGACACAGGGUGAUAGCCCCGUACUCGAAGUCCAGGUCGUGGUACUAAGCUAACGAUAAGUAAGGCGGGACACGUGAUAUCCUGUUUGAAGAUGGGGGGACCAUCCUCCAAGGCUAAAUACUCCUGAUUGACCGAUAGUGAACCAGUACUGUGAAGGAAAGGCGAAAAGAACCCCGGUGAGGGGAGUGAAAUAGAACCUGAAACCUUGUACGUACAAGCAGUGGGAGCCCGCAAGGGUGACUGCGUACCUUUUGUAUAAUGGGUCAGCGACUUAUAUUUUGUAGCGAGGUUAACCGAAUAGGGGAGCCGAAGGGAAACCGAGUCUUAACUGGGCGUUGAGUUGCAAGGUAUAGACCCGAAACCCGGUGAUCUAGCCAUGGGCAGGUUGAAGGUUGGGUAACACUAACUGGAGGACCGAACCGACUAAUGUUGAAAAAUUAGCGGAUGACUUGUGGCUGGGGGUGAAAGGCCAAUCAAACCGGGAGAUAGCUGGUUCUCCCCGAAAUCUAUUUAGGUAGAGCCUUGAGCGGACACCUUCGGGGGUAGAGCACUGUUUCGGCUAGGGGGCCAUCCCGGCUUACCAACCCGAUGCAAACUACGAAUACCGAAGAGUGAUACUCAGGAGACACACGGCGGGUGCUAACGUCCGUCGUGGAGAGGGAAACAACCCAGACCGCCAGCUAAGGUCCCAAAGUCUAUAUUAAGUGGGAAACGAAGUGGGAAGGCUUAGACAGCUAGGAUGUUGGCUUAGAAGCAGCCAUCAUUUAAAGAAAGCGUAAUAGCUCACUAGUCGAGUCGGCCUGCGCGGAAGAUGUAACGGGGCUCAAAUAUAGCACCGAAGCUGCGGCAUCAGACGUAAGUCUGUUGGGUAGGGGAGCGUUGUGUAAGCGGAUGAAGGUGGUUCGAGAGGGCUGCUGGACGUAUCACAAGUGCGAAUGCUGACAUAAGUAACGAUAAAACGGGUGAAAAACCCGUUCGCCGGAAGACCAAGGGUUCCUGUCCAACGUUAAUCGGGGCAGGGUGAGUCGGCCCCUAAGGCGAGGCUGAAAAGCGUAGUCGAUGGGAAACGGGUUAAUAUUCCCGUACUUGGAUAAACUGCGAUGUGGGGACGGAGCAGGUUAGGUUAGCGUGCUGUUGGAUAUGCACGUUUAAGUUGGUAGGUGGGAAGUUUAGGCAAAUCCGGACUUCCUUAACACUGAGAGAUGAUGACGAGGCUCUACGGAGCUGAAGUAACUGAUACUACACUUCCAGGAAAAGCCACUAAGCUUCAGGUUUAUCUAAACCGUACUGAAAACCGACACAGGUGGUCAGGUAGAGAAUACUCAGGCGCUUGAGAGAACUCGGGUGAAGGAACUAGGCAAAAUAGCACCGUAACUUCGGGAGAAGGUGCGCCGGCGUAGAUUGUAAGGGUUUACCCCUGAAGGUUGAACCGGUCGAAGAUACCAGCUGGCUGCAACUGUUUAUUAAAAACACAGCACUCUGCAAACACGAAAGUGGACGUAUAGGGUGUGACGCCUGCCCGGUGCUGGAAGGUUAAUUGAUGGUGUAAUCGAAAGAGAAGCUCCUGAUCGAAGCCCCAGUAAACGGCGGCCGUAACUAUAACGGUCCUAAGGUAGCGAAAUUCCUUGUCGGGU